rnacentral:rRNA from 1 species
UACGUAGGGUGCAAGCGUUGUCCGGAAUUAUUGGGCGUAAAGAGCUCGUAGGCGGUCUGUCGCGUCUGCUGUGAAAACUCAGGGCUUAACCCUGAGCUUGCAGUGGGUACGGGCAGACUAGAGUGCGGUAGGGGAGACUGGAAUUCCUGGUGUAGCGGUGAAAUGCGUAGAUAUCGGGAGGAACACCAGUGGCGAAGGCGACUUCCUGGCCUGUUCUUGACGCUGAGGCGCGAAAGCUAGGGGAGCAAACGGGG